rnacentral:miRNA from 1 species
UAUUUGUGGGUUUAUGGACAA